UUUGACGUAUUAUAUAUGUUAAGUUAUAUUAAUACUUAAAUUUUGUUAUAUAAAACGAUAUAUCCAUGACCCCUUUGUGCUUUUGAUGAUAGAAUUAAAAAUAUUGAAAAGUUUCAUUUAGAAGUCAGCAUGAAGAACAACCUUCUCUACUAACACGUUAAAUUAAAAAUAUUUAAACUUAAUUUCUAAGUCACUUAUGCCAUAUUAAUGGUAUGUGGAGUUUUUCAACACCAACUUAAAACUUGAAUAUAUAAUUCCAAAAUUAUAGAUCAAUUUAAUAUAUAUUUUGACGUGUAAAUGGUGAUUGCCCUUUUGAUUUAGAAGUAUGUUUUUGGCCAUUAUCAUAAUCGACUUAUGUUCUGAUCGACUUACGUUCUGACCCUCUUAAGUUUAAGGUUCAAGUCUUUCUUCAAUACAAAUAAUCUCUAAGAGCUUUUGAAUCAGAAAGUUGUUUCCUUGAAUUAUUAGAAGUACACUUAUGAGAGACUGUACACUAUCAAGAUUAGUUACAAAAAGAAAAAUAUCUAGUGUUGGAACUAAUGUGGUCCCCAAUGGAUUCGUAUUGAUUGAAAGAUUCAGACUUACAAAAGCUGUCUUCUCCUAAUAUAUAUAUACACAAGAGCUAAGACAGUAAACUAAAUUGUUUCUUUUUAACAUUUAUAAAUCCAACCCAUGAUUUGUUUUUGAAAGAUUGUUUUUUUUUAACAUUUUUUUUUAAACAGAUUAGGAUUACAACUCUAGAGUCCCUUUUCACUUUAAAAACUCUUAAACCCACCUUUAUACAUCUUUUAUUGCACGUCUCUCAUACACUUCCCAAACCAUGCACGUUCCUUUUACCACAGCCCCUACAGUCACGGCAGAUAUAUAUUCACGGCAACAACCCCCAUUAUUUAUGGAACACAUAAACGUUAGAUUCCGUAUUCAUCUCCUUUCUCUAGACUAGGGUUUCCGCCACACCACCUUAAGGUAGCCAUUGCUCAGUUCACGCACGGAACCUCAGCCACCCCAUCCACGGAAGCCACCCCAAACCGUUGACACCCUGUGCCGUGAACCCCAUGCAUGCUGCCAUCGGUAGUCCAAAAGGCCCUGUUUUUCCUCACGAAAAACAGAGCAACCCGAAUGUCUCCUCCCUUCACCACCAAGGACCCACCACGACUCCGACGCUACCCAGCUCUACCCACCAUGACGGUUGCAACUCAUCCUUUCAUGCACGUCGCAAACCGCCCAGUCUGGUCAGCAACCGUAAGCCAGUCACCACCACGUCCUCUAUUUCCUCUCUCACUCUCUCGUCAGCGCUCAGCCUCUCAUCUUGCCGGCACUACCACCUCAGCCUCCUAGAUCCGUCGAUACACCUUCUCUCACGAUGAUUUUAGAAUAGAUCAGCCAAGGAUCAGGAUUAUGGAGCUUGGGUGAGAUGAUUAUUUAAGUAUAAUGGAUUACUCAUAGAAGAUCUCUGAGGUUUGGCAGAUUUUAUUAAGAGAUUUUGAUAUAUUCUGAUGAUUUUAAAAUUUGGAGUUUGUAAAUUUUUUAAUAAAAUGUAAGUUUUAAGUUACAGGAA